AAGAAUGCAUUCGUUCACAUUAUCACCACACAGUGAAAUUUAAGAAAUUCAGAUGGAGUCCGGUAUCAGAUAUCAUUGUAGAACAUAUGACCCAUCUGAAUGUUGCCAGUUGUCCUACGUCUUUUAUGCAGUUACUUUUGUAUUUGGCCCAGGAUCCUAUAUUCUUAUAUCAUGGCUAUUUCGAUUUUUGGAACACUUGGAUAACACAGAAAUAAUGAGUCAAUUCAAAGUGAAAUAAAUUCAAUUUUAACCUAAUACUGUAUAAUCAGUUGAAGGCAAACUAUAUCCCAUAAACUGGUGCUUUUGAGCCAUAGGUCCACAGUUAGUUGAGAGCUGUUUGAGGUUGUAGAAGCUUUAAGGGGUGUUCCCUUAAGGAGUGGCUGAUAAAGUGUGUCAUUAUUGACGGGUUAGGGCUGUAUAUUCAGCCCCUUCUUCCUGGUUACUAGCUGCACCCUAACUUCGAAUGGGAUGGAAUCAGUAGGCUCUCUGUCCCUGCCAUCAUGCCUUGAUUGUCACGAAGGACUGUAUCCUGGAACUGUAAAUGAACAUAAACUUUUCCUUCUUUAAGUUGCUUUUAUCAGGGUUUUUAUUUGUUGUUGUUUAUUUUUAUUACAACAGGUAGUAUAGUCAAUACAUAUGGAUGAGAUAAAAUGUUUUAAAGAUGUGUUCAAUGAAAGCUCAUAGUAAAAUUAUUUUAGUAGGUUAGUAGGUCAGCAGUGCUACCUGAAAAUGAAGAUGGUUGUGAAGAAAGGUAUCUAUUCAGAAGCUUUACCAGGCUAAUAAGGACUCCCUCUACACAUAAAAACUCUCUGUAAUGUCUAUUAAAUCAAUGUCUACAUGACAGUUCAUUGAAUCCCUUUUCUUUCCUGAUAAGCCAUGUUCUUUAAAAGAUCUUGAUCUUGCUAACUGCUGUUUGUGCAAACACACAGGUUUGGAAACACAACCCUAGAGAUUUGGGAAGAGUACUAUGGUGACAGGAAAAACUAUUUUUCAAGCCAGUCUAGAUCAGUAAAACACGUCUACAAAUUGAUAGUGUUCCUCAGAGUAAACAAGGUGGUAUGUGAUAUUUGAAUGGAAAUCUCUAUGAAAAACACUCAGGGUAUAAGUUUUACACACAUCCAACUUAAUAGAAAACACAGACAAUGAAAAUGAUGGUUUCAUUUUUGGACCAGGAAACUAAAGUGAGAGAUGUGAGGAGAUUUGUUCAAUCCUGUGGCAAAAUUAGUACCAACUGCUAAGUCUUCUGACUCAUAGUCUAAUUCCUUUCCUGGUACAGAAUGCUCUCCCCAGGGUCUGUUUUCUUAGCAGCAGAAAGUUUAGUGAUGGCUGAAUGUAUUUUAUUUUAAAAAACUAGAUAAUUUAUAAUAUAUCAAUCAUACUAUCAAUAUAGGACGUGCUAGUUAAUGUAAACUACAUGGCUUUAUAGACUUGGCAUAAUGUUAUAUUAAUUUGAUAUUCUGAAAAAGAAUAUAUUUCAGAUUAGCAAUUCAAAAAUUCAAACUAGCAAAUGAUUCAAUCCAAAAGAAAAUCACACACCUAAUUUAGAGCUGCACCACAUAUUCAUUAAGACUCUCUCCUUUCCUUCGUUUUUUUUUUUUUUAAUUUGACACGUUCUUGCUCUGUAAUCCAGGCUGUCUUCAAUCUUCAGAUCCUUCUGCCUCCUCAUACGCUUAAAUAUCAGGAUUACAGUGGUGUGCCACCAACCAUACCCACCUUAAAUGUGACAUCAUUUUUACAACUUUCCAACCAAGACAGAUUUUAAUUGUUUGAAAUAAAAUCAAAGUUAUGUCUGUGUCCUUUUCCACGGUGCUUUGCUUCUCUGUUAGGAAGACAGUUUGAUGUAAUUAAUAGAACAAAAUUGUUGUACGUUGACUAAUGCUUAUUGACUUUGUUUUUGUUUCUUUUCUCACAUGAAGAACUAUUUCCUUAAGUCAAGCUGUUAAACUGGUGGGUGGUAUGCUUUUAUUUCUUAUAUUACUCAGAUAGUCAUCUGGCGUAUGCCACCAAGGAAGAGAUUGAGUUUCUUUGGGAAAAAUGGUAAAAUUAAGAGAAAAUUGGGAUUUUAACACGAGAGUAGCUCAGGACUGGCUGUGAGUUAAUUACUAAUAUUUUCUAAGUGACUCAUUCUAAUUUCUCGAAAUGAACAUUACAGCAUUGUUUACGCUUUCCCUCUAUCUGUGGUGAAUCUGGUCUUUGAUUUUCAGUUUUAACAAGUUCCACAAUUUUGCUCUGAUAUUCAUAAGGGUAAUUAAUUUCUUUCUAAUCUCUCUAUUUCUUUAACUACUGUCUUUAUCGAUCAUUCCCCUAUUUUAUUGACCCUUUAUAUUUGUAGCCAUCUAUCAUUUCUACUAAUUUAUUAGCCAUUUCCAUAGUGUUACUCUAAUUUUAUUUUAGUAAACUAUGGAUGAACAUCUCAUAGUCAUUGGAUAUAUAUUGAUUCGGAUGGCUUUUAGUUCCAGAACUUUGGGUAUUCAUUUUAUAGGUACUGUGAUGGUUUGUACAGGCUUGGUCCAGGGAGUGAGUGGCAUUAUUAGGAGGGGUGGCAUCGUUGGAGUAAAUGUCUCACUGUGGGCAUGAGUUUAAGACCCUCUGUCAUCCUAGCUGCUUGGAAGUCAGUCUUCCAGGAGCAGCCUUCCGUUGAAGAUGCAGAACUCUCAGCUCUGCCUGUACCACGACCGCCUGGACUUUGCCAUGUUCCCACCUUGAUGAUAAUGAACUGUAAGACAGUCCGAAUUAAAUGUUGUCCUUUGUAAGACUUGCCUUGGUCACGGUGUCCGUUCACAGCAGACAAACCCUAAGACUGAUACUAACACAUUAAAUGUGUGUAUCAUCAUUUGCAUUAUUAGGCACAAUGCUAUGUGCACAGAAGACUCUUCAUACUCCAUAGUUAAAAAGAGCUCUAUCGCAGCAACUUUUAGAUUCACACUUUAUCUUUUAGUAGCCUAACUUGAUAAAAUUGAUGUUUCUGACAGCUUUGUUCUCCCAUGAGGAUUAUUCCAAAGAACAAAGAGAAAUGUCAUUUGAGAAAGAAUUGUUUACCAAAUACUAAUAAAGUUUCUCAGAAAGAAAAAAAUCAGAGUUACAAACACACAUAUGAGUGUUAUGAAGUAUUUAAACAAUAUAUUUAAUAAAAAUUUGUAAUUGGAAAAUUUAAUGUAAAAAUUUGUCAGGAAACUAUUGGACUUACAAUUAAUUGUACUGUUCACACAUGCUUUACUUCAGCAACAAAUUAUUGUAGCUGUGAAUGAAAAUUUCUAUUCCAUAAAAAUAAAGUAUUACACGGCUAUGUAAACAUUUGUUUGGGCUGGAGAGAUGGCUCAGUGGUUAAGAGCCACUGACUACUCUUCCUAGAGGUCCUGAGUUCAAAUCCCCUCAACCACACGGUGGCUCAUAAACAUCUGUAAUGAGAUCUAAUGUUCUCUUUUUGUAUGUCUUAAGACAGCUACAGUGUACUUAUAUAUAAUAAAAAAUAUUUAAAAAGAAAACAUUUGUUUACACCAUAUGUGAAAUGCUAAAACAGCUGUGAAAAAGUUAUUAACCUGGGUUUGUAUCUUAUUUAGGAUUUCUACUGCUGAGAAGUGGCACCAUGACAAAGGCAACUCUUAUAAAGGACAAUGUUUAAUUGUGGCUGCCUUACAGGUUCUGAGGUUCAGUCCAUUGUCAUCAAGGUGGGAGCAUGGCAGCAUCCAGGCAUACAAUACCGGAGAAGCCAAGAGCUCCAUCUUAUUCUGAAGGCUGACAGGAGAAGACUGACUCUUAUCCCUGGGAAAGAGCUUCAGAGCCAACCCACACGGUCACAUUCUUUCUUUAACAAGGCCAAAUCUGUUGCAGAACCUUCCCCUAACGAAUAGAGAUUUCAAGGAGCCAAUCACUGGGCAAGUAGGUGGGACUUCCAGGAGGGAGAGGGGAAGAGGGGAAAAGAUACGGUUUUUGGACUGGAGGCCAAAGUGUAGGUAUCAGAGGCCCCAGUUUAGGUGGCAGAUCCGCUGGGUUCUGCUACCAGAAGAUUUAUAACUUAGAAGAGCUUACAAAUUAUGAUGCCAGUUGAUGUGCCCAGCGAUUAUGUUACCUGUUGAUUCUUAACUAAGUUUGUAUAGUGUUUUCCUUAAAGCAGGACUCAACUGGGUUUCAGAGAGAAAGGUAUGGCAGCAAAGUGUGGGUUUAUGAGGCGAGCCAAGUGGAGAGAUUUCAGAGCUCCAGGUCAAAGAGUCUGCCUGGUUGAGAACAGGCCCGCUGGUGCCUUGCCAGCAGUAGCAUGGAUUGCCUUUUUAAAAUAUUUCACACAACAUACACCUACUCCAACAAGGCCACACCUCCUAAUAGAGGCACUCCUUGGACUAAGCGUAUUCAAACCAACACACCUUCUAAUAGUACCAGUACCUGGGCCAAACAUAUUUAAAUCACCACAUUCUACUUCCUGGCCCACAGGCUUGUUCAAACUCUUGAGUAUAUGGGGAUCAUGCCUAGCCAUAGCAUAAUGCACAGAUUUAGUCCAACUUCCUAAGUCCCAUAAUCUAUAUCAGUCUCAACAAAGUUAAAAGAACAAAGUUCAAAGUCUCUUCUCAGAUUUGUCCUGUCACUUAACUGCAAUUCCUUAUAAAAUUAAAAUCAAGAAAGUGGAUCUCUUGCCUCCACCAUCACAGGAUAUACAUUAUCAUUCCAAACCUUCAUAGUGAAGAAAUACUGACCAAAGCAAAUCCAAAACCAAGGUGGGCAAACCCCAAACUCAGCAUCUUCAUAUCUGAUGUCAAAGCUCUCUUCAGAUCUCCCAGUGUUUUCAUCUUUGCAAACUGCAACAUAAUUCUUUGUCUGGUUCCACUUCCUGUCGGCAGCUGUACCCAUUAGGUCACACUUCCUAACAGUGCCAUUCUCUGGGCCAAGCAUAUUCAAACCACCACAGUUUGCAUGUUAUGUUGCCUAGAGUACUGUACCAUCUUUGAAAAAAAAUAAGUGAAACAAGUCCAGAGACACUGUUUGCAUAGCUUGUUAUUGGCUUUCAAUCGAGUGAUAGUAGUAUAAAGUGAAUUAUACAAGCAAAAUGUCAUCAAUGAAUUUUCAGAGGAAAAUACCAACAUAAAUUUUCUCAAACUAUAAAUGAUUAAUAUGUUCCCAAGGACAAUGGGGUCAUCACAAUUUCAUUGAUUGCCCAAAUGAGAAUUUAUGAGGUAAUGUUUUUUCACACAGGCCCCCUACUGCACUACUUUAGUAAAGGGAAAUGUGACAAUAUAUAUUUAAUUUGCAUUUUUUUUCAAAUUGACUUAUUAAAAGAAGGAUUUUAAUGAUUAAACCCAUGCUUACUUUCAAGUUUCCAAUGCGAAGUGGCUUUCUCACAUUUAUUCCUACUUCUGUAAAUCAGUCAGUGAAAAAAAUAUUAAAUAGAAAACUCCAUUAGUUUUAUAUGUAUCAACUCAGAAGGCAAAGGAUAGUGGUGAUUUAUUUUCUUGAUAUAUUUAUGUACUAAAUGCUAAUAAAAAGAAUAUUUAGAAGAUAUGUACUUAGGUGAGGUAGAAUUCAUGCGUACAUUUCAGUUUUUAGGCUUACUACAUUUCUGUAUUUUAUCUUGAGUUUCUACUUUUAUCACAUAGGUGUUGAUGAUGAAAACAUCUCUGCUCCCAAAUUUCUAGCACCCAUACAUCAAUUGAAGCAAGUCUGUGCAGUGAGAUAGAUGCUAUCCUGCAUCGAAGCUCAAAAGCAUAAAUUCUUCCAUCCGACAGAAGUGGUUGAGCAUCUCAAUAAUUCAGCAUCUAAGUUCAACAUGAUAUGGUCAAUCUUAUGAUGAGAAAAAGAACAUAAGAAGAGAACAUUUGAGGCCUCAGGAAGUUUAGAGAGAACUUCUACCAUUACCAGGAGGUUCCUUCCUCUACACACCACAGAAAUGCCACUUUGAGGGGUCUAUUUAACUCAUCACUUCAGCGUCCACUCAUCACCUAAAGUUAAUGUAGUAACAUACUGUCACUUUUGAUGUAAAAGAUGCUUUGAGGACCUGGGUUCAUUGAGGUAUGGUCACUGUGUUUGAAUUUGCUAAUUUUUCUCUCUGUUGGCUUUCAAUACAUAUUCACAGAAUAAAGAAUAGCCCAUAAGAUCCAAUGUUCCAAGCUUGUGAACUCGGAAAGAGCCCAAGUAACGGCUGUAGAAACACAAAAGUACAUUCUCUGUAAUAGGUAUUUGCUCUUUGGGUUUAUUUUUCUCCAGCCCCUGGAAAUCAUGGCUUCAUUCCUCAAAUAACAUCCAAUUUUCCUCAUGUGAAUGCCUUCUCCCUGUGUGUGCGUUUCCUAGGAAAGGCUGACACGGAAUAUUCCCUGUCCUUGCACAGAAAAUAAAGAUGCUACUGUAAUAGAGCAAGAUAAUGUAAGUACAUAUAAGGCAGGCAGUCCGUUCCAGCCACCUGAAAGCCUGUUGCUGGAUGUUUUUCCACGUUGUUUUUCAGCUGUUAUUUUCUUGGAUAAACCAGACCUAUAGCCUCCCUUUUAACUUCCUUUCAGAUAGGUCAGGUAAGGCUGAUUUCUAUUGCUUACAAGUGUCUCAAUUGCUGUAAGCCGAGAUGCAAUUAGUCUUGACACAGUAACACAAAGAGAAGUUAUUGCACAUAUCAAUAGCUUCACUUACAAGCUAGGGAAGGAUGUUAAAAAGGAGAGGUGAUUAAAGCUUACUCUGAGUUAAGAGCCCCUGGCUGCUGGAACUAAGGGUGUUAAUAGGGCAUAGUAGGUGAACCUAUGACUACUGUUUGCAAAAUGGUUACAUUGCUACUGCCUUCUAAAUACCUACAUUUAUACUGAAGAAUUAGUGCUUCACCUCUCCUUCCUGAGAGAAGCUUCACACUACAGUGGGGUUACUGUAGAAAGUUGAAAUUGGACAACCUGCCAAGAGUAAAUGAUGACAGGGUGCUACUAGGCUUAAAUGGGGCGGCUGUAUGCUCCCCUCCACAGCUCAGGGAACAUAGGAGAAGAGGUGUUAAAAAAUAUAAGAGCCAACGGACAGAGAAAUCUUCAGCUAAAUAUGUCUUCCGGGAUGACAUGCCUGUUGCAUUGGCUAAUCCCCUGCUGGUUGGUUAUCUGCACAAGAUCUGAACAAGCUCUGGCCUAUCCACAUUUCUUUACCGAUAGUAAAGGGCCCCAUGGGGACUCAAGUCUCUCUGGGGGGCACUGGGUUCCUGUCGCUGGAGUAGGAGCUGUCACUUUCUUCAAGGUUGUGACCAUGGAUAAAUUGCUCUUGCUUGGAGUGGAAGCUCCCAAGCAUGCUCUGGCAAGAGGCAGACUCAGUUCAGUGGGUUACACACAAAAGAAGACAGGAGACAAUUGAGGCGAUUUGCUGGAAAAAGGUUUCCGUAGGAGUGGACGAGGUGAGGUGACAAAAAUUCAUUAAAUAGAUUAUUCAAUUGUCGAACAAAAAAACUAUGAAUAUUUUCCCCAUGUAAUUAAGCAAUGCAUUUAGCGUUAACUUUAGCAGUUCAGCCCCAUAGAUGAACUUAUAUUCAGUUGUAAAUAUUAAGAUGCAAUUUCUUCUAAAACUCAAUUACUUCCAUCUCUUGAAGACAAGAGGGAAAUAGAAAGGAGUGGUGGUUUGUACUGUAGUCUCAGCUAUUCAGGAUAGUUGUUUGAGUAUAAGGGGUGGAGAAAUCUGGAAAACAGCAUAGCAAAAUUCUUUUUGAAAAGAAUGAAUACACACACACACACGUGUGUGUGUGAGAGAGAGAAUGAUCAAAUUUAUUGUAAUAUUAAUGAUAAUAUGUGACUCUGUUUUCCUUUGCUCAAUAUACCAUGAUCAGACAACAUGGCAUUUUUUUUAGGCACUGAAAGAAAAGAAUGAUUUGAGCCAAUUUAGCCUUUUUCUCUCACAUAUAUUAAUUUAACUAUAUUAAAAGGAGGGUUUUAGAAAUAAUCUUGUCUUCUUGUUACAUAUCAUUCAACUGAAACAUAAAAGGUAAAAUAUAAAGUAAUUAUUGUGGUUUGAGAGUGAACUAUUCACCAUAUAUUCAUACAUUUGAAUGCUUGAUUGUCAGCUGGCAGAGUGGUUUGGAAGUUUGUGGAGCCCUAAGGUUUGGGAGCUUUCAUUAGAGGAAGUGAGUCCCUGAGAUGGAGCUUGGCCCCUCAUCCUGUACACUCCCUACUGCCUGAUGGUUGGUGCCAUGGACUGUGACACAUUCCCUGCCCUGGUGGAUUGUGUUCCCUUGGAAUCUGAGCUAAAACUCGGAGUCAAAAUAAACCCUUCUUUGUCAUUAAUUGCAUAGGGGGUCUUUUAUCACAGCAACAUGUGUGAGCGGAUGUAAUACAGCUGCCAUGAAGCAUUUCUUAGAACAGUGUUUCCCCACUUUGUGGAAGAUUUUAUUCCAUUUUGACAGUCAUUCUGAUGGUUUAAUAUAGAGGCUACUUAAGUUUUACUAGACAGUAUUAGUUGGUUUUCUAAAAACAUGCAGGAACCACAUUAUUGUCAGAUUUUGAUUCCCGGUUGGGACAUUGGAAUUAUGGGAAGAUAGCAAGGCAAAGUAGGGGUUGAACCUCUCAUUCCUUGCCAAUGGUAGACAUGGAAGGAAAAUUACAUAUUGCUUUGUCAGUUUUCAAAGGCCAGAGGCUAUUGCAUCGAGUAGGAUGUGAGAGGGGUAGAUUAAUAAUGGAGAUUUAUACUUCAAAGAAUUAUGUCCACGCCUCACUUACCCCUUCAUAAAUUUUAUAGUGAAUCCUGUAGCUAUUCACUCUCAUGGAAAUGGAGGCUGUGUCACUGAGCAUACACAUGUUUAUAAUGAAGUUAAAGGUUGUCUUAUGUUCACUCUGGCAAUCAUCGUAGGUCCAUUCACAAGGUUGGCGAGUCAUCGGAAGAAGAGCUUCUGCCUUAUAGCCAUCCUAGCCUAUAGGUAAACUAAAGUGGCAUGGAGAGGAAAUUGAUCUAGAUACACUGAUGUACUCAGGGUGACAACAUUCUUCUCUUAAAAAUGGCACAUGGAUAUUUUAUUUUGCAAAAAUAUGUUGAAGACAGAAAAACCUGUAUUUAUGAAAGGAAUCAAGUUCUACCAUUAAAGCAAUUGAAAAUAAAAUCACAACUGCUGCCUGGUUAUAAUUCUGAGAUGUCAUGAAGGAUAAGAUAAAUUCCACUUUAAGAUAUGUUAUAAUAUAAAAGAUAACAUAUAUGUCCUACUACUCCUGAGGUGGUAGUUUCUCCAACUUUCAGUUUCAGUUACACAGUUAGAAUCCAUCACCCUAUCACAGGCACAGCUCAUUGUUUAGAGGAUACAAAUAUAACAUGCUGGGUCUAUUUUUGUUGUGUGUUUAUUAUUUCAGAGCCAGCCAUUUGUUGGAUAACCAAUUAGGGGACUCAUUCCUGGGAGAGGUAAUUCCCCAUCAUAGCAGUCAUUAGUUGCCUGUACAUCUUUGUCUAUGUGUGGAACCCCCUUUGCUUCUGCAUUAGCAUACAUAUUGGUAAAUAAAAUGAGUAAGAUAAAUGAGAAUGAAGUUUUCCCUCCAUGAAAAUGAUAGUUACAGAAAUGAAAAUUAGUCCAAUUUGGUAGUUUUACAUAAGAAAAAAUGAUAAUUAGUACAACUCGAUUAUUUUACAUGUAUACACAGAUUAAAAUAUAAUACUUUCCUCCAUAAAUAUUUUCAAUUAUUGUAUGUCAAUAAAAAUACCUAAGAUGGAAAAAAGUCUUAAAAUGUAACAGUAAUAGUACAUGUGUCUUUACAUUACUUUUCUUAUUUAACUCCAUGGCCUUUGAAACCCUCUAAAUCAUAAGGGCCAAUUAAAUAUUAAACAAAGUUCUAUUAUGAUAUAAUUUACAUUCAUAUAAAUUUGAAAAAAAUAAUGAUAAUCCUAUUAAUCUAUCCUAUUAUGGUCAUCUUUUAAAUGAGAGUUCUUUACUGAAACUAAGAAAUUAGCUUUAGUAUGACACUGGGCACUCUAAAGGAAUGAUUUGCUUUUCUUCAGUUGUUGGCAAUAAUUUCCUCGUGAGAGUAGAAUCAAAAUUGCCAAGACAUUCAAGAGAUAGCAUGCCUUCUUACUCAUGCCUGCCUUUCUUUAGUUAUUUUGAACAUAACAUUUAUCAAUUGAAAGAGAGUUGACUAUUUUCUAGGUUGCUUCCAAUCUGAUGUUAUGCAAUGAUUCCUUAUGAUUAAUUUCAGUAACAGAUUCAGAGGGAUUGUUGAAUGGUGACAAAUACUUGUCAUAAUUCUUUAUCAGUGCUACAUAAUUUCAAUUUAAUAGCAGUAAUUGGUAGCUUUGAAUAUUUAGUAGAGAGGAUUCUCAAAAGUUUCUUUAUGAUAAUGUUAAUACUUGAUAUACUUUCCUUCUACUUUAUGAAGUUGAUAUAUCUUUGCAUAGAUUUUUGGAAUUCUUUAAGAAAAAUGUGUCUCUUCUCUGCUUAUAUAGCUAUUAAAUAACCUAAUUUCAAUAAGAACAGCAAAGCUAAAAUAGUGAGAAAUACCACUCAAAAAAUGAAAUAUCAAAUUGUGAUACUAAUAGAUUUAAAAAAUGAAGAUAGACGUAAAGAUACUCUACAGAGCUGGAGAGAUGGCCCAGAGUUUUAUAGCACUCACUGUUCUUCCAAAUGGCCUGAGUUCAAUUCCCAGCAACCAUAUGCUGUCUCACAACCAUCUGUAAUGAGGUCUGAUGCCCUCUUCUGGCAUACGGGCAUAUAUGCAGACAGAACUCUGUGUAAGUAAUAAAUCUUUUUAAAAAUAUACUCUUAUAAAGUACAAUACAAUGUGACAAAAAAAACCCACAACCACAACCACAACCACAACCACAACAACAACAACAACAGAAAAUACAAAAUGAUGAGACACAGAGGACACAAGAAGACUCCGCAAGAAAUCUCAUCUAUCUGGAGGUCUGAGAGAAAGAAAUCUGUUAGGUCACAGUUCUACAAAUAGACAAACUACCAGAAAAAGAAUAGAAAAGAGAAAAAUAAAGAAACAAUCUUAAAUAUGUCUCAGGGUAAAAAUGCAUAUGAUUCAUGUAUAAGGCUUUAAUUUUGAUUAACUAAAAAAAUUACAUACUAGGUUGAAUCACAUCACAUUGUACUUUUCUGCAGUAAUUUCAUAUGUCAUUCAACUUAUUUCAAGGAAACGGUACAUUAAUUAAGAAGCUGGGAGGCAAAACAAACAGAUUUUGUCACAGACAUGAGAGAAGGCAAGGGGUGUUUAAUUUCUAAGCAUCCACACUUGGGUCUGCAGGCUAAAUUAACAAAACAGGAUGUCUGGAAAAAAUCUCAGUUCAAGAACCAUGAUACAUACUUUUACUAUGUAGCAAAAAACCUUCAAAUCACUAAAACAAGGGAACAAGCAAGCAAAACAAAGCAACCAAUCAACUAAGAAUUAUAAAAUGAUAAAAAAUGAGCAUAUUUUUGACAAAUAGCACAGAAAGAUGUUAAAGAAGUCUAUAUUGAGCAAACCACUGUAACUGUUGAAAGUUUAGAAUACUUCUUUAAGCACACACAAAGGUUAAUAUAAGGCUAAAAUAUUAGAACAGCAGAAGCAUUACUUUUCAUCUAAUUAACACAUGUAAAAAUCACAGUGAACAUUUUAUUUUAAAGGUCGUGAUAUACUUUAGAAUGAUUAUAUAUUUAAUUGUAAUUGAUUUUUCUUUCAUAUUUUAUAAAUUGUGGAAUGGAAAGUAAUUAUCACACAAAAAUAAGAAUGUUCUGAAAAUAGAUAUAAAUACUUGCUUCACUGUGAAGACAUUUAAAAGAACAUGAGUAUUUUUCUAAAGGUCUUAAAUUUGAGUUGGGACAUUGGUGCAAUGGUUAAAAUACAUGCCAUAUAUGUAUGGAGACCAAAGUGUGGAACCAUACCUCUUAUAUAAUUACUGGGUAUAGGUGGCAAAUUACUUGUAAUUCUAGUGUCUUGAAGACAAGAGAAGCUAGCAAGGGCAAGAUGGCUAGCUAGAUUGGCCCAUGUGGUUGAGCAUAUAAUAAAUAAUAAAGUGGAGAAUGAUCCUAGAAAGUCACUUUGUCAACAGGGAGCCUCAGUAUGCACACAUGCACAUGCACAAUGAAUCUACACAUAUAUGCACAUACACAUCAAAGCAUCCAUCGCUCAUGGACAUGCAAACCCAAAUGCAUACAUAGAAAAAGCAAAAGUCUUAAAUGUAUUCUUAUUGAGAAAUAAACUUUUCUCUCUGGUAUCACCAUGCAGGUUAAAAUGGAAUAUUUCCCUGUACUGACUUGAGUGAAAGGAAACAAACACCUUAAACUACCAGUAAUAUACUAGAGUAUAGGAGUCUUUUGAGAGAGUAUUUGGCAAAUAUUUGGCAAAAACAUAAACACAAAAAGCAAUGCAUAGUCUUUGACCUUGUAGCUCCAUUUACUGUGGAUAUAUAUCAACCUAAACAGGGUAGUAUAACGAUGGGUGACAAAUUAAAACAAGGCAAAAACAACCUGCGUGAAAUAUAGCUGCCUUUGGGUUGGUGGAUAACAUUUAGCUUCAACCCCCAAAAGCAUCAAAGAAAGAAAAAUGGGUUAUUUGAUGUAUUACUUCAGUACCAUUGAUGAGAUGAUAUGAACAUCAGAAAUUAGUUUGCCCAGAGCUCCUGAAGUGCGCUUGAAGUGGUAUUCCUCCCAAAGGUCUGCUGAGGAAAGCUUUUCUUUCCAGGGAGACAGUCGCUGGUUUGUUGCUAGCUGGUCAACAUCUAAUAGCAUGCUUGUAUAUUCUUUUCUCUGUUGGUGUGGCUGUUGGUAUUUCUUUUGCUGGAAGAAUGCCAAACAUAGGGCCAUUGAAAUAGCUUUAUUGUAAACCAAUUAUCUCUGUAAAAACCUUGUCUGCAAAUGUUGUAAUAUCCUACACAGUACUGGUUGUUUGUACUUUAAUUUGUGAAUAGUGGUUGGGCAAAUUUCAGGCUAUCCAAACUUAAAUUCAUCUAACUUAAAAAGUUUCCACAUCAUCAGAGAUAUUAGGAGAAUAAAAUGACAUCUGGGAUAUGGGGAAAUUAUGUCAAAGGACACAUAUGACCCUGGCUCUACUCCCCCUUUCUGUAGACGCAUUCUGGAAUCACGCUGUGCACUGCUCUAAGCUACUCCACAUUGUGUAGCAUUGAUUUAUCAGAUGAUCCCGUGACCUGAGAAACUCUGUUGUAUGAGUAGCAUUUGAUUUCACUUUGAAGAUGACGUUGACUUUGAACCUUCUUAAAUCACUUAUCCAGUUCCACCCAUAAGCCACAGAUGGAUGGAUUAAAAGAGCAAAAGUAGAAAUGUUGGUACCCUAUAAGCAUUUGAAGCAAAUUAAGACUUAUGAGGAUGGAGCUCAUAAAAAGAGAGUCUGACCCUGCGAGUCAAGGCACAGAUGACUGCUCUUCUAACCACAACUGAGCGUGGCUUAAGGCUCUAAGGCAGAGAACUCCUGAUUGUCCACGUGCUCUCCUUCAGCCCCCUCCUUGGCGGGAAGUCAGUGUAGUCCAACUGAAAUUUGCCUGCCCUCAUCCUAGAUACACUAUCCAUCUUUUCACCAACUCUUACGUCUCGGUCUUGUCCUGUCAUUCACUUCUUCAGUCUCUACUGUUGGGGUUUGAACAUGCUUUACCCAAAGGGACUGGCACUGUUAGGAGGUAUGGCAUUGUUGGAGAUGGUAUCUCACCGUGGAAGCUCUGGAAGUCUCCUUCUGUGCCCAGGCUCUACCCAUUGCAGAAGAGAGCUUCCUACGAGCUGCUUGAGGAUGCCAUUCUCUCCUGGUUGCCUUUAGAGAAAGAUGCAAAACUCUGAGCUCCUUCUCUAGCACUAUGUCUGCCAUGAGUUCCGCUAUGAUGAUGUUGGACUAAACCUCUGAAUCUAUAAGCCAGCCCCAAUUAAAUGUUUGCCUGUGUAAGAGUUGCCUUGGUCGUGGUGUUUCUUCAGAAAAAUGAAAACCUAAUUAAAACCCUACCAAAUCUGGCUCCUGCAGCUCUACUCUUACAGAAACUUGACUGUGUAGAGGCAGUAGCAGUAGCAGUACCAACAGAGCCUCUUGCAGACCUCCAACUAGGCUUCUGUACAGGAACAAAACUGAUAUGAUGAGUCUCUCUCUCUCUCUCUCUCUCUCUCUCUCUCUCUCUCUCUCUCUCUCUCUCUGUGUGUGUGUGUGUGUGUGUGUGUGUGUGUGUUUAAAGGGAACUUAAGAGUUGCUUAUAGUUUGUGGACUAGUUAAUCUAAUAAUAGCUGUUUACAAAUGGAAAAUCCAAGAAUCUACUAGCUGUUCAGUCCAGGAGACGGGAUGUCUCAGCCUGGUUUCAGUAUAUGUUUGAAUCCCAGAGAAGUAGACUAUGAUAGAAUGAAGUUACCCAAGAGAGUGGGGCAAUGCAGGCAAAGAGUAAAAGCUUCCUUUGUCCGUGCUCUUUUUAUAUAGGUUUACAAACACCUGAGGAUGUGACCCAGAUUUAAGGUGGAUCUUUCCAUUUUGAAUACAUGUAUAGCUAUCAUAAUAUUGAACAAGCAAGACUAGACUGUUAUUAUUUAGAUCAAGUUGGAGAAAAGAAAAGAGGUAUAGAGAAGAACGCAAGCCAAAAACCAUCUCACGUCUAAUAUACCAGAAAGGAAGUAAAGUUGACAGAUUCCACAAAGUGUCUUUUCAAGAAACAACUGGAAAAAGAAAUCCUGACACAACAACCGUUUCUUUAGUUCAUCCUGAGUUGGAUUAUAUGUAAGAUUCUAUUGAGGAAUGGCAUUAUAAAUCCCACUCUUACAUGCCAUAAUAUUCAACAAUCCAAAGCAACUUGAAUUUAUCACUUGUGCUCCUAGAGCGAUGUCUUUUCUUUUUUGUUUGCUAAUAUCAGACAUAUACUGAAUUCCUAUCUUCUGUGAUUUUAUUCUGAAAGCCCAAAAGUUACUUUAAAUGAGACUAAGGGUUCUGCUAAGGGUUAUGAAUAGAAUGGUGACUUUCAUAGAACACUGUAUAAGCUGGACCACAUCACAGGCACACAACAAGGUGUUGAAAAUUUGCAUACUUUCUAUUUCGAUUGCCAAGUUGGUAGUCAUUUUUAAAGAGAAUUUUUGUCCAGAAGGCAGGGUAUUAUUUUACUGGCACAAACUGGAGCUAUUUACCAGGUUUAUUCUAUAGUUACACUUCCAAGGUUAAAGAAAAAAAGCAAAAUGGGGCAAUCUCUUUUUACAUAUCUCCAAACAUCUGGCAAUCCAUGGUCAGGAACCAUAGGGGAUCAGCAGGAAUAGAUCUGCCUAGCUGACUGUGAGCAGCUCUGUUUUACGUCGCCUCUCUGGGGAUGGGUGGAGGAAGAAGUUUGACCUUUAUUUCUGGCAAUGAUAAUGACAGGAAGCGCCCCAGCUUAUCAUCAAAGUCAACUUGAGAGUAAUGUAUGCAAGUAAUAACACUUUAAUUUGUGGCUCUGAUGAACCCUAAAAUAAUGAACAAGAAAAGGAUAAUGCCUAGGAGAAGAGCAGAUCGGGAAACUGGUUCUGAUAAGUUGUCCCAUGCAGUUCUCAUUGGCUCUCGAGUCUCGGGUUUUACAUACAUAAUUGGAAGAUGGCUUUUCUAUGCACACUUAGCUCUUAAAAUUUUCCAGCUAAUAUAGCAACUUGUGUUUUAUUUUCUGUCGGCUGUAGAUAGUUUCUCCAUCUCUCACCUUACUGUUUCUCUUCAACAUUCAUGAACUUUUUGUACCUAGGAAGAAUAAAGUCAUAGCGGUUCAUCUUAUAAAUUAAAGAUGUGAAAUGAGAAUGAGUUGUCUCUAUAGAAUACCGAAAAUUGGGAUUUGUUGUCAGUCUGCCCUACACUUAAGAACUGUGAGACUUGCUGAAGCUCUUUGGUAGAAAAUUGCUAAAUAAAAGUUACUCUUAUCACAGAUUAGCUCCCCCGUUUGAAACAGAAGCAUCUGAGAACAGAUUGACACUCGUCACUCUCUGUAGACCAGCUAAUCAAACAUUGCUGUCUGGUGCCAUGUGCUACACCCUGGAGCUGACACGCAUUUAGCCUCUGAAGAAAGGGCAUGAAACUGCAGCAGUGCGCCAUGAAAUCUGUUUAAAUCUGGCAAAUGUACCGCAAUGCUUUGUUAGCAGUUAUCAAUUCACAGUGGUGGCUGAUAAGAACAGAGUCAUAAUGGGAUGUCAGGAAAAAUGAUGAUCGCUUGCUAGUAAGUAGUCAUUCAGUUGCCCAGAAUUAAACAGUUUGACUUCCACUGUGGCAUUAUGGCUACUACCAUGAAACUCAUAGCUUCUAUUACCCCCGCGGGCCCCACCUCUGUUCUGAAGAAAACAGAUUUAGUUUGGGAAGUGAUGUGCUGGCAUCACGACAAUGGUAUCUCUCCUAAAAAAAUAGGCAGGGACAAAGAUCCAUUCUUUCUAAGACUGGAGCAUGUUGAACUGCUCUCAACAUGAACACCAUGAGAAAAUAAAAAAUAGUGAGUUUUAAACAAAAAUAGUGAGUUUUAAACCAAUAUGACUAUCCAAGACAGUUAUAAAUACCAUAUUUGUUUAUUUUCGAAGUCAAUUAUCAUCUAACUAGGUUUCUCUAAAUCACGAAUCAUUUCGCUUCUUCUCACACUGGCAAAUUCCAGAGUUGUUUUUCAAAUGGAUAUUGGCAAAUAAGUUGAGCAGGUGAGGUAAAAAGUGCAACUUAUGUAACUCUCCCACUAUGUUUAAAGCCGCCCAAUUCAUUUAUGUUUAAAUAUCAUUUUAUUGUGAAGUUUAAGAAUUAUUAAAAGAGAAUUUUUAAAAUAAAACACCACACACACACACACACACACACACACACACACACACACACACACACACACACACACAUUCCUAAAUAGGAAACCAUAUACAGUCUGUAUAAUGCUGCAUAAAUGUACGUUUUCAGGAUGACCAUCUACUAUUGGAUCAUCAGUUGGUGUCCUCUUCCCUAGGGGAAAGUAUUUCUCUCACUCUAGGCACUUCUUCAGUAUCUGCAGUUCUUUAGAUAGGGAUGAAGCCUCGUGAGCUUCCUUCCAUCUGCCUUAGCAUGUCUUCCUUGGCGCUAUCCCUGUUGAACUCUUGUUCAGGCAGUCAGUCAUAUGAGUGAGACUUUAUGAGUGUAGCUCCUUACAUUCCUAGUAGACAAAAUCUCAAAGGAAACUCCCUGAUCUUCUGACUCCAAAACUCUUCCUGCCCACUACUCUGUAAGGAUCCCAAAGCCAUCCAUGCAGGAGGUGUGCUGUAGAUGUAUCCAUUGGGACUGGGCUCCAUACCUCUGAAUUUUUAUUAUGGGUUUCAGCAAUGAUCCCCUUAUGAUGCAAAGAAAACAUAAAAAUAAUUAGGGGAACAUGGGGUCUUGGAUUUUAAAAGAGAACAAGGAGGGUACAUGGGGAUGUUUGGAAGAAAGACAGGGAAGGGGGGAAUAGUUAAAAUAGAUCAUUUUGAUUUAUCUAUUAUGUCCUAGCACAGCCUCUCAAUUGCCCCUCUAAGCUUCAUAAACAUCCGGAGAGCACCUAUCCAAACCCUUCCACAGAGACACUCAUCAUGGAAUUCUCCAGCACUUCUGUGUCAUAUCCAACCCUUCCUUGUUCUUCAGUUUCCUAUGUCAAAAUUAUUCUUUCCUUUUCUCUCAUUUCCCCCAUAUUUCUUCCCCAGGAACCUACAGAUGAGAGUAACAAUGGCCAGAUGAGUAAUAUAUGCAGUUAAGUUUGAUUGUCUCUAACGCCAGUCUUACUUUUGUUUCACACCAACAGUUUAAAUUAUAUUGGAAAGGGCCGGAUGCUCGUAUCUAGACUUGGAGAAAGUGCGUCUUCAUUUGGAACUCUAGUGAGCAAAUGCGAGUUAACUACUGCAUUAUCUCAUCCCGAGAAUACAUGAACAUUCAAUUAGGUGUCUUCUCAGUAGAAUGAAAUUGUGUUUCAAAGUAUACACCUUCAGGAAGAGAGCUGGUCGUUGAACUUACACAUAAACACUCUUUAGAAUUUUUUAGUAAUCUUAAUGGCAAUCCGCAGUGAUGAAUGGGAGCUGCUAGUGAACUGAAAAGCAGGAUAAACUCAUUAAUCAACUCAAUAUAGCAUCUGUCACAGGUAACUUUCGAGUUAUCUGUUUUGUCCUCAUAUCUGGAAAGGCUUAGUUGCCAGAUAAGUAUUGAUAAAAUGCCAGCGAGAAAAAUAUCUGAAAUUGAUGUAUAGCGGCUUUGACAUCAUGUACUUGAAUUACAAAAGAACGCCGGUAUUUGUUAUCACACUAACUCUUGUAGGUACCAACAGUAGAUGGAAGUUCUGUAGGAAAUUAGAGCUAAGAAUUGAAAUAAAUUGGAUAAUAAUAGCAUUAUCACAUUCCUAUUCUAUGGAUAGUCAAGCCGAUUUCUCAUUCCCAACUCUGUGUUUCAGAUUCAGCUCUUUUCAGAAUUCUGAGGCCAAGAUCAGGAGUUUGACGUCCAUUCCUCUCCUUUAGUCACCUUUACAAAUUACCUCUGAACAACGGCAUAGACCCACUUCCAGGGUGUCAUUGUGUCUUGUCAUCAUUUUAAGCCUCUCCCUUGCUUUGUGAUCUUUUACUAUACCCAUAAAGCACAGGUUACUUUUGUAGCUCCAUGUUUCUCAUCACCCUACUGCUACUGUCCCCAUAUGUUUUCUCGUCUCUUAGAGAAGAAUCAGACAUUUUGGUGCAGCUAAGUCUCUCUUUAGGCUUACAUUUGAUUAUAAGGGAGUCGGCAUGUGGAAGAGAAAAAUCCCAAAGGCUUUGAAUAUAAGCCGAAAGCAAAAGUGAAGGAUUUUAUGGUAUCCACUAGCUAACCAGUGUCCAGCUGUCUUGCUUGGUAUGGAUGCACACAGAGGUGGAAUUUUACCUAAGAAAGUAAAACUUCAUUUUAAUUUUUCUUUCCUUCCUUCCUUUUAUCUUCCUCCCUCCCUCUUCUUGCCCUCACCUUCCUCGAUCUUACAGAUAGGCAUGCAAAUUUGCAUUUGGAGGCUAGAGAUGAAAGAUGAUGUUUUUCUCAGCUUCAUUCCCUCAUUCCACCAUGCAUCAUCGGUUUGUAUUUUGAGAUGAGAAUACUCAGUGAACCUACCAGUCAUUGAUUAAACUAGACUGACUGCCAAAGCCUUCUAAGGCUUAGACUCCAUCCUCACCUCCUCCACCCCCACCCAGGCUGAGAUCAACCCUGUGAGUCUGGUCCGGCUUAAGUGAGUGUUUGGGAUCUCAACUCAGUUUCUUCUGCUUAGGAGACAAAUACUUUCCUCCCUGAGCCACGCUGCCCCCAUGUCCCCCAGCCAAGAGAGUAGCAUGCUUCUUGUAUGAAUCAUAUAUCAUUGUAACUUUAAGUCUUCAGUGUGUGUUAUGGUGGGGAUGAUUAUGAGUUCCAAUGAAGUAAAGGUAACUAUAGGUCAUUUCAGUGGCCAUUAUACACACCCAAGUUUGUCUUAUCACUAAUACUCUUUCUCUCAUAACCUUGGACAGUGCUAUAUAUCACCAAAUUUGAGGAUUGGAACAGUGCAAUGGUCUGAGCACUUUCUUGACUCAGUGAGUUUGAUUUUAAUGCUAUUUGUGUUUUAUUCCAUUUUGCUUUGGUUUUUGUGACUUUUUUUUUAAUUUCAUCCCUAAUAUGCUCCUUCCUAUGACUAUAUUGCAUAUUUUCUUCUGUCCCCUGAAAUUAUCUUUGAGAUAUAGUAGAUUUGUACAUCCUUCUCACAUACCAUUCAUCUUUUUCUUUUAUUGGAUUUUUUUAUUUACAUUUCAAAUGUUAUUCCUUUCCCAGUUUCCCGGUCAUAAGCCCCCUAUCCUAUCCCUCUCCCUUUCUUCUAUAAGGGUGUUCCCCUCACUAUUCCACCCCUCCUUCCCACCCCUGACAUUCCCCUACACUGGUGGUCCAACUUUGGCAGGACAAAGGGCUUCUCCUUCCAUUGGUGCCCAACAAGGCCAUCAUCUGCUACAUAUGCCACUGGAGUCAUGGGUCAGACCGUGUAUAGUCUUUGGGUAGUGGUUUAGUUCCUGGGAGGUCUGGUUGGUUGGCAUUGUUGUUCUUAUAGGGUUGCAAGCCCUUUCAACUCUUUGAAUCCUUUCUCUAAUUCCUCCAAAGGGGUCCAAUUCUCAAUUCAAUGGUUUGCUGGUAGCGUUUGCCUCUGUAUUUGACAUGCUCUGGCUGUGUCUCUCAGGAGACACCUAUAUCUGGUUCCUGUCAGCAUGCUUCAUCAAUCUAACCAGUUUUGGUGGCUAUAUGUAUAUGGGCCAACUUGGGGGAAGGCUAUGAAUGGCUGUUCCUUCAGUCUUUGCUCCAAAUUCUGACUUCAUAUCCCUUCCUAUGAAUAUUUUUGUUCCCCCUUUUAAGAAGGAAUGAAGCAUCUGCAUUUUGGUCAUCCUUCUUGAGCUUCAUGUGGUCUGUGGAUUGUAUUUUGGGUAAUUCAAGCUUUUGAGCUAAUAUCCAAUUAUAUGUGAGGUAUAUCAUGUGUGUUUUUCUGUGAUUAGGUUACCUCAGGUAGGAUGAUAUUUUCUAGUUUAAUCUAUUUGCCUAUAAAUUUCAUGAAACCAUUGUUUUUGAUAGCUGAGUAGUACUCCAUUGUGUAGAUGUACCACAUUUUCUGCAUCCAUUCCUCUUUUGAAGGGCAUCUGGGUUCUUUACAGCUUCUGGCUAUUAUAAAUAAGAUGGCUAUGAACAUAGUGGAGCACGUGUCCUUGUUGUUUGUUGGAGAAUCUUUUAGGUAUAUGCCCCGGAGAUGUAUAGCUAGGUCCUCAGGUGUUGCAAUGUCCAAUUUUCUGAGGAACCUCCAGACUGAUUUCCAAAGUGUUUGUACCAGUUUGCAAUCUCACCAACAGUGGAGAAGUGUUUCUCUUUCUCCACGUCUUUGCUGUCAUCUGCUGUCACCUGACUUUUUUAUCUUAGCCAUUCUGAUUGGUUUGAGGUGGAAUCUUAGGGUUAUUUUGAUUUGCAUUUCCUUGAUGACUAAGGAUGUUGAGUAUUUCUUUAGCUACUUCUCUGCCAUUCAAUAUUCCUCAGCUAAGAAUUCUUUGUUUACCUUAGUACCCCAUUUUUAAGUAGGGUUAUUUGGCUCUCUGGAGUCUAACUUCUUGAGUUCUUUGUAUAUAUUGGAUAUUAGUCCUCUAUCAAAUGAAGAAUUGGUAAAGAUCUUUUCCCAAUCUGUUGGUUGCUAUUUUGUCCCAAUGACAGUGUCCUUUGCUUUACGGAAGCUUUGCAGUUUUAUGAGAUCCCAUUUGUCGAUUCUUGAUCUUAGAGCAUAAGCCAUUGGUGUUUUGUUCAGGAAAAUUUCCCCAGUGCCCAUGUGAUUGAGACUCUUCCCCAUUUUUACUUCUAUUAGUUUGAGUGUAUCUGGUUUGAUGUGGAGGUCCUUGAUCCACGUAGACUAAAACUUUCUACAGGGUGAUAAGAAUGGGUCAAUUUGCAUUCUUCUACAUGCUGACCUACAGUUGAACCAGCACCAUUUGUUGAAUAUGCUUUUUUCCAUUGAAUGGUUUUAGCUCCUUUGUCAAAGGUCAAGUGACCAUAGGUGUGUGGGUUCAUUUCUGGGUCUACAAUUCUAUUCCACUGAUUAACCUGCCUGUCUCUCUACCAAUAACAUACAUACAGUUUUUAUCACUAUUGCUCUGUAAUACUGCUUGAGGUCAGGGAUGGUGAUUCCCCCAGAAGUUCUUUUAUUGUAGAAAAUGGUUUUCGCUUUUUCUAACUCUAUGAAGAAUUGAGUUGGAAUUUUGAUGGGGAUUGCAUUGAAUCUGUAGAUUGACUUGGCAAAAUGGCAAUUUUUACUAUAUUAAUCCUGUCAAUUCAUGAGCAUGGGAGGUCUUCUAAUCUUCUGAAAUCUUCAAUUUCUUUCUUCAGAGACUUGAAGCUCUUGUCAUACACAUCUUUCACUGCUUAGUGUCACAUCGAAGUAUUUUAUAUUGUUUGGGACUAUUGUGAAGGGUUUCAUUUCCCUAAAUUCUUUCUUGGCCUGUUUAAUCUUUGAGUAGAGGAAGGCUACUGAUUUAUUUGAGUUAAUGUUAUGCCCAGCCACUUUACUGAAGUUGUUUAUCAGGUUUAGUAGUUCUCUGGUGGAACUUUUAGGGUCACUUAAGUACACUAUCAUAUCAUCUGCAAAUAGUGAUAUUUAGAUUUCUUCCUUUCCAAUUUUUAUCCCUUUGACCUCCUUUCAUUGUCUGCUCUGGCUAGGACUUUGAGUACUAUAUUGAAUAAUUAGGGAGAGAGUGGGCAGCUUUUGUCUAGUCCUGAUUUUACUACGAUUGCUUUAAGUUUAUCUCCAUUUAGUUUAAUGUUAGCUAAUGGUUUGCUGCAUAUUGCUUUUGCCAUGUUUAGGUAUGGGCCUUGUAUUUCUAAUCUUUCCAGGACUUUUAUCAUGAAGGGGUGUUGAAUUUUGUCAAAUGCUUCCUUGGCAUUUAAUGAAAUGAGCAUGUGGUUUUUUUUCUUUGAGUUUGUUAAUAUAGUGGAUUAUGUUGAUGGAUUGCUGUGUAUUGUACUGUUCCUCCAUCUCUGAGAUGAAGCCAACCUGAUCAUGAUGGAUGACCAUUUUGAUGUGUUGUUGGAUUCAGUUUGUGUGAAUUUUCUUGAGUAUUUUUGCUUCAAUAUUCACGAGGGGAAUUGGUUUGAACUUCUCUUUCUUUGUUAGGAUUUUGUGUAGUUUAGGGACAAGCAUAAUUGUGGCUUCAUAGAAGGAGUUAGAUAGUGCUCCUUCUGUUUCAACUUUGUGGAAUAGUUUGAACAGUAUUGGUAUCAGGUCUUUUAUGAAGGUUUGAAAGAAUUCUGCACUAAACCCCUCUGGUCCUGGGCUCUUUUUGGUUGGGAGAAUUUUAAAAACUACUUCAAUUUCUUUAGGAGUUAUGGGGAUAUUUAUAUGGUUUAUCUCUUCCUGAUUUAACUGGUAUUUGUCUAGAAAAUUAUCCAUUCCCUCCAGAUUUUCUAGUUUUGUUGAACAUAGGCUUUUGUAGUAGGAUCUGAUGAUUUUUUAAAAGUUUCCUCAGAUUCUCUUGUUAUGUCUCCCUUUUCAUUUCUGAUUUUGUUAAUUUCUAUACACUCUCUGUGCCUUCUGGUUAGUCUGGCUAAGGUCUUAUCUAUUUUGUUGAUUCUCUUAAAGAACCAGUUUCUGGUUUUGUUGAUUCUUUGUAUAGUCCUUUUUGUUUCUAUUUGAUUGAUUUGAGCCCUGAAUUUGAUUAUUUCCUUCCUUCUACACCUCUUGGCUAUAUUUGCUUCUUAUUGUUCUAGAGCUUUUAGGUAUGCUGUUAAGCUGUUAAUGUAUGGUCUCUCCAGUUUCUUUUUGGAGGCACUCAGAGCUAUGAGUUUUCCUCUUAGCACUGCUUUCAUUGUGUCCCAUAAGUUUGGGUAUGUUUUGCCUUCAUUUUCAUUAAGUUCUAAAACGUCUUUAAUUUCUUUCUUAUUUCUUCCUUGACCAAAUUAUCAUUGAGUAGAGUGUUGUUCAACUUUCAUGUAUAUGUGGGCUUUCUGUCAUUUUUGUAUUUGUUGAAGACCAGCCUUAUUCUUUGGUCAUCUGAUAGAAUGCAUGGUAUUAUUUCUAUCAUCCUGUAUCUGUUGAAUCCUGUUUAGUGGCCUAUAUAUGUUCAAUUUUGGAGAAGGUGCCAUGAGGUGCUUGGAAGAAGGUAUAUCCUUUUGUUUUAGUGUGAAAUGUUCUAUAAAUAUCUGUUAAAUCCAUUUGGUUCAUAACUUUUGUUAGUUUCUCUAUGUCUCUGUUUAAUUUCUGUUUCCAUGAUCCGUCCAUUGAUGAGAGGGGGUUAUUGAAAUCUCCUACUAUUAUUGUGUGAGGUGCAAUGUGUGAUUUGAGCUUUAGCGAGGUUUCUUUUAUGAAUUUUGGUGCUAUUGCAUUUCGGGCAUAUAUAUUUAGGAUUGAGAGUUCACCUUGGUGGAUUUUUCUUUUGAUGAGUAUGAUGUCAAUUCUUAUCUUUUUUGAUGACUUUUGGUUGAAAAUUGAUUCUAUUUGAUAUUACAAUCGUUAUUCAGGCUUGUUUCUUUGAAUCUUUUGCUUGGAAAAUUGUUUUCCAGCCUUUUACUCUGAGGUAGUGUCUGUCUUUGUCUCUGAGGUGUGUUUCCUGUAUGCAGCAAAAUCCCGGGUCCUCUUUACAUAUCCAUUCUGUUCAUCUAUGUCUUUUUAUUGGGGAAUUGAGUUCAUUGAUGUUAUUUGAUAUUAAGAAAUAGCGAUUGUUGCUUCCUGUUAUUUUUGUUGUUAGAAGUGGAAUUCUGUUUGUGUGUCUCUCUUUUUUUGGUGUUGUUGCAAAGAAAUUACUUUCUUGCUUUUUCUAGGGUGUAGUUUCCCUUCUUGUGUUGGAGUUUUCCAACUAUUAUACUUUGUAGUACUGGAUUUGCAGAAAGAGCCCCAAGAACAGUUUUGUAAAUUUUCUGUCUCUUAUUGCCAUCUUUCAGCUAUUCAUGGCAUGACAUAAAUAGUGGCCUAAGAAAUAAUGGUUAAGUAAUGCCAGUCCUAAAAACAAAACAUCCUUACAUUGUCUUUUAUUUAAUGUGACUUAAGAGAACUUUAGAGCCUUAACAUCCAUACACACAGAGGAACUUGUUAAACAUCCAUGUCCCAUGAUGGACCAGCUUUUCUCUCAGUCUCUCUCUCUCUCUCUCUCUCUCUCUCUCUCUCUCUCUCUCUCUCUCUGUUGUUGUUGUUUUGGUUUGGUUUUCUAUGCUUUAAUGUUUGGGAUUGUUUUGAAUAUUUCAUCAUGGUAAGUUUGUUCUCCCUGAGUAUUUAUGGAUUUCCAGAAGUUGUUAUCUCUUCUUAGAAGAUAUUUAUGAUUAUCCCAACCAUAUGAGUCCUCAAUACCCAUAUCUUUGACUAAAUUAAAUGUCCCUUUCAAUAUCUAGUUUUUUCUUAGAAAUCUCAGACUGUAGGAGCCCUCCUCCAGCAGGAGAUCUCAGUCUUGUUAUAUGGCUUUUAUUAACUUGCCUAGUGUCUCCCCUAUCUAGUAUUUAUUAAGUAUUGUUUAAUUGAAAUUAAAUUACAUUUUAAAAGAUAGGCUUUUUCUAUAUACCUAGGGCUGAUCUCAUACUUAGGAUUCUCUGUUUUCUCCUUUUAAGUUGUGGUUUGUAGCAUCAAGCCUGGCUUAGUAUUUAUUCUAUUUCUGUGAACUCUAUUCUCCUGCUAGAAUGAAAGAUUCACUCAAUCAUAGAUAUUAUCUCUCUUGUUUUCAUUCGUAUACUCAAGGUGAUAUAGAUUGGUACACAGGUACAUAAAUUGACUAAUAAAUUAUAUAUUUUCAGUGGCAAAAGUAUUAUAACUUUGAUAAGUGUGAGUCAGAAAGAAAAUUAUUCAAAAACAGUUGAAUUGUUGAAUUAACAAGUCAACAUGGUGUUUCAGAAGUUAGAAUUUUUGUGUGUCCUAUUUCUGUUGGUUGAUAUGAUUUUGUUGACCUUAUGCUUUAGUUUUUUUUUUAAAAUUUAAAGUAACACUGAAAUUUAUUUCAUACAGUAUAAUAUAAACUACUAUAACAUAUGCAACAAUUAAGGUAAUUUACAGGUUGUAUGAGCUGGUUUUGCAUCAAGUUGAUGUGAAUUAGGGUCAUUAGUGAAGAAAAAGCCUCAGUUGAGGAAGCUGUAAAACAUUUUCUCCAUUAGUGAUCAAUGGAGGAAGGCCUGGCCCUUUGUGUGGAGUGCCUUUCCUGGGUUGGUAGUCCUAGGUUUUAUAAAAUCAUAGGCUGAGCAAAGCCACAGGAAGGAAGUAAGUAAGCAGCACCACUCUAUGACCUCUGCAUCAGCUCCUGCCUCCAGGUGCCUGCCCUGCUUUAGUUUCUGUCCUGACUUUCUUCAAUAAUGAACAGCAAUAUGGAAAUGUAAGCUAAGUAAAUCUGUUUCUCACCAACUUUCUUUUCAGUCAUGGUGCUUCAUUGUAGCAAUAACGAUCCUAAGACACAGAGUAACUCAUAAUCUUUAUGAAACUCUAACUGAAAACCUAAUUUUUGUAGAAGUAGAAAUUAAACAGAAAGAUUUAAACUGGCUAAAUAUUCUGGACUAAUGAGUAACAAACUUGAGAGUCAGUUUCAGAUAGUCUGAGUUUUUGUUCGUACUUUUAAUAUGUAUGUAUUUUUGUUUGUAUAUAUGCAUAUGUAUGAAUUUAUUAUCUAUCCAUUUAUAAUCUAUCUAUAAUCUAUAAUCUAUCAAUCUAUCAUCUAUCUAUCUACUUAUCUAUCUAUAUCUAUCAUCUAUCUAUCUGUCUACCUGUCAUCUAUCUAUCAUUUAUCUAGCUACCUAUCUCUCUCUCAUCUAUUUAUCUAUCAUCUAUCUAUCAUCUGUGUAUCUAUCUACCUAUCAUCUAUCAUCUAUUUUUCUAUCUUCUAUCUAUCUGUCUACUUGUCACCCAACUAUCAUUUAUCUAUUUAUCUAUCAUCUAUCUAUCUAUCUAUCUAUCUAUCUAUCUAUCUAUCUAUCAUCUAUCUAUCUAUCUAUCUAUCUAUCUAUCAUUUAUCUAUUUUAGUUUUGGUUUUAUAACAUAGCCCAGGUUAGCCUCAGCCCUCUUCUGCCUCUGCUUUCUUGGUGCUGGGUUAAAGGGAUGUAAUAUUAUUAUAGGCUGCUCCUUCAAUUUACAAUCUGUCCUUCCUGCAUGAUGUGCUGGAGUUGUGGUGGUACAGAACUUGUGAGCGUGUCAACCCAAUAUCUCCUUUAACUUGAGGCCCAUACCACAAGAGGGAGCUCGUACCCUACAGUGAGUGGAUGGCCAGGAACUAAAUACUGGAUAGCUCAGAGACCUAGUGUAAAGGCAAACAGGACUGCCCUCCUUGCCCAAACCUGACUAAAUAAUUCCUAAAAAUAUUCUGCUAUUCUACUCGAGUCACAGAUCAGUGCCUUGUCCGGUCAUCAUCAGAGAGGCUUCCUUCAGCAGUAGUCAAUGGGAGUUGUGCAGAGACCCACAGCCAGACAGUGUUGGGAGAGAGUCUAUAAAAUAGAUGUUUCUAUCUGAUCCUUCAAAUUGGAGCUCAUGGAACCCCUCAGAAGAGGGAAAAGAAAGGAAGAGGGAACGGAGGACACCAGGAGAACGUGGCCCGACACAUCAACUAAGCAAGGCUCACACAGGCUCACAUAAACUGAAUCUACAAGCAUGAGAGCUACAUCAGUCUCUGUCAGGUCCUCUGCUUACCUGUUGUGACUCUUAGCUUGCUGUUUUUGUGGGGCCACCAACAGUGGGAACAGGUGUGUCUAUGAUUCUCCUGCCUGCUCAUUAGACUCCUUUUAUCCUUUCAGGUUGCCUUGUCUAGGCUGGCUGUGAAGGGUUUUGCCCUAUCUUAUUGUAUCUUGUUUUGUUUAGUUGUUGCCUCUUGGAGGCCUGCUCUUUUCUGAAAGGAAAUGAAAAGGGACUGGGUCUCCGGGAGAGGGGAGUUGGGAGAAAACUUGGAGUGGAGAGAGCAGAAAUUGUGGUUGAGAUGUAUUGUGUGAGAGAAGAAUCUAUUUUCAGUGAAAAAAAAUAAAUAAAGGGAACGAACAUCAUCCCUGUGAGAUUUAACAAGCACUUGCUGACAGCUCCUCAUGUUGCAAAGAGUUAAGUGCUUUUGAUUGAGAGAACAACACUGAACAGUUACAUGCUAAAUGCAGCUUUUACAUUUAAUGGACUAGACAGAUGAGUCAACUAUGAGUGAACUGUUAACUAUAAUUACCAUGGAAAGCAUUUGAUGAAUAAACACUCACACAGAGGCUAAGCAAACACAUAAAUACACGUGCCAAUGGCACUUGCCAUAUGUUGUAGAGUGAAUUUGCUAUUCCCAGUGAUUCAGGAGAGCUUUUUAUAUUUUUAAGCUAGAUUCAGGAGGCUCUGCAAGAGUUACCUAGGAGAAUAGAAAUGAUCCAGAUGGAGAAUCACAACAAUGGUAACCUGAGUUGUAAUUUGAUUUGCGUCUUGUAUUACAAGCACACCUGGAAGGAUACAGGUUUUCACUGUGACAUGGCCAUUUGGGUUGCUAGUAACACACAAUCUCAUGCAAUUCAUCUUUUCAUUUCUACAUCCAUCAGGGUUGUUUAUUUUUUAUACUCUGGAAGACAAAGCCAGCAAUGGAAAAGAACAUAAGUAACAAAUUUUAAAACGUGCACAAGUGGUUUUUAACAUUCAAUUAGCAAAUUUAAUUAAAUAUUCUAAUAGAUAAAAGCAAUGCUGCAUUUUAAUAGAUUUACCUAUGAAAAACACUUUCUAUGACUUCCAAUAAUCUGUAUGAUAACUUCUCUUUAAGGAAAUUACAAUUAAAAGGGUUUCAUUUAUUUUACCCUAAGCAACCCUUAAUGCUUUAAAAUAACCAUUGUUGAAAGAAUAAAUAAAAUAAUCACUAUGGGCUUCACAAGCAUUUUAUUAUUUUCAGUUUUAUACAUAUAAUCUUAUUUUAUUAUAUUAUUCUGUGAAACAACAGGUUUUCUACCCAUCUUAAAUUGUCUUUGUAUGUUCCUGUGUGUAUAUGUGUACAUACACAUCUGUUUUCCUUUUUUAUGGAAAACAAACAUUUGAAAAGAGAAAGUAUUAUACAUGUUUAUUUUCAUCUAGUUCUCUGUCAUCGUAAUGAAACAUCUGAUACUAUAAUAAUCAAGUAGGAGAAAAGUAAAGAAAAUAUUUAAUAAGUUCUUUUAAUCAAAUUUCAGAAAACCAUUGGAAUGUGAAGAUCUUAGAUUUACAAAAACAUUUAAGUGGAUUAAUUUUCUUUUUCAAAUGCAUUAAUAUGUGAUUGAAGAAUGCAAUGGAACUGUUCAUCUUUUUACUACAUAUUGGCCCAUUUAUUUUCAAGAAAUGAGGAUCUGUCCUGUGAUUAAUUGCAUAACAUUGGCAGCUCUGCUUUUUGUUAAAGAACAUCCCAUCGGUAACUUGGAAAGAAUUUAAAGACAUUUAUCAAAGUUCCCAUUUGGAGUCUACAGAAACAAUAAAGUAGAUAUUGACUUCUCCUGAGGAGUGGAUCAUGAUUUAUUGAUUCAAAGGAAGAGGCCAUAUUUACCUUUUGUGAAAAUAAUUCUGGACAGUCAAUGAAAUGUAAUGUCCUCUACAUUAGUUCUAAUCAGCACCAACUUGAAACAUAUCACAAGAUGACACUGUUUAAAUAGCAUUUGCAUCAUUUGGUUUAAAAAUAUUUAUGCAUUUAGAUAAUCCUUGUAAUACAUAGACUAUUAAAAGUGGAAAGUAUGCCAAGAAUUUCACAAUAAAGGGAAAACAAUGUUA